GACCGCGUAGCUCAGUUGGAAGAGCAUUGGGCUAGUAUUCCAAAGGUCGUAGGUUCGAACCCCACCGUGGCCG
rnacentral:tRNA from 1 species